CCUACGGGGGGCAGCAGUGGGGAAUAUUGGACAAUGGGCGAAAGCCUGAUCCAGCCAUGCCGCGUGUGUGAAGAAGGCCUUCGGGUUGUAAAGCACUUUCAGUGGGGAAGAAAGCCUUGGGGCUAAUACCCUCGAGGAAGGACAUCACCCACAGAAGAAGCACCGGCUAACUCCGUGCCAGCAGCCGCGGUAAUACGGAGGGUGCGAGCGUUAAUCGGAAUUACUGGGCGUAAAGCGCGCGUAGGCGGUCUGAUAAGCCGGUUGUGAAAGCCCCGGGCUCAACCUGGGAACGGCAUCCGGAACUGUCAGGCUAGAGUGCAGGAGAGGAAGGUAGAUUGCCCGGUGUAGCGGUGAAAUGCGUAGAGAUCGGGAGGAAUACCAGUGGCGAAGGCGGCCUUCUGGGCUGACACUGACGCUGAGGUGCGAAAGCGUGGGUAGCAAACAGGAUUAGAUACCCUAGUAGUC
rnacentral:rRNA from 1 species